GUUGACCUGAUACAUCAUCAGCCUUUGUUAGACUUGGUCACUAGUUUCCAGGGGAGGGGUGUGGAAAGCCAAGUGGUGCCACUACAGUUCACAACCUCUGAAAGGCCCAUCAAGGCGGGUGGUGCUCCAGUUGCUAAGAGCUCAAAGGGGAAGCACAGUAACAGACAUGGCAAAAUUCAGACCAAUCAGGAGCAUGACCCGUUGCCACCGCAGAAAGCCACAAAAGAGACGUCAUGGAGGUGGAUCUGGAGGAAAAAGGAGACAGCCUGGGAAAACAAAGAGAGGUGAAGACUUUUGUGCAUCACUUAAACUAGAGGGGUGCUACAGCUUUGUAACAAAUCUGGCAGUUGGCAGCCUCCACUCAUAAAAAUGUGAUUUAUUUCUGAAGGAGCAUUCAGGUUAUUAAGCGUACUAAGUAUUGAUGGUGUUUUCUGUCUCUUUUCCAGGUCACAGGUCCCAUGGUCUCAAGAGGCAGAGGAAGAGGAGACACGACUAAAUUCCCUCUUCAUGGUCUUCUCUGUUCUUGAUCUGAAAAGCUGACCUUUCUAAAACUUCCACCAAACAUGAAAUUGAAGCAAAUUUUCCAUCAAGAGACCCAGGAUGUCUUCCCAGGAAUCAAGGAACAGAAAAACAUUUGAGCAAGGCCACCUGUCAAUAAAUGCUAGCAUUUAA